AGAAACACAUAACAAACAUAGAACCCUUUUUUUUUUAAAAAAGGGUCCUAUGUUCCCCGGUCACAUACAUAUCGGGGAACAUAGGACCCUUUUUGGGAAAAGCGGGGAACAUAGGACCCGGGGAACAUAGACACGCUCCCCUAUAGCCUACAUGACAUCACACACGCACAAACUAACACUUUUUGAUAAUCCAACAUAGUAUUCAUAGCAACACUGACAUAGGAGGUUGCAUUGGCUAAAGUUGUUUGGAUACACGUUUUAUAACAAGAGGCAAAGUUGUGCAUCACAAUGCAGACACGACAAUAAUUGGCACCAAUCUGGCGCACUUAAGCCCAGUUCAGACCAAAGAUUCACCUUGCAACGAGACGGUUUUAGAAAGUCGCAGGAGCGGUGUGAACGGGUCGUUGCAAGCCGUUGCAAGGAGUUGCAAGGCGUCGCAAGGCGUUGCAAGGAGUCGCCAGAGAUUGAACAUGUCAAAUCGCAAAGUCCAGUUUUAGAACGCGGCGAUUUAACUAUUCCUCUUCAGCCAAUCACAGCACAGAACAACUUGUACGUCACGGCCUUACUCCGUCCCGGUACCGUACUGUCCACUCCAGCAUAAAAAGAUCCGAAGAUGGCAGACUUCUGGUCCGAGGAGAGGGAGGAGAAAUUAAUUCGGUUGCUGGAGGAUCAACCUGUCCUAUACGACAUUGGCAGCAAGGGGUACAGCAACAGGGACAGCAAGAGGAGAGCGUGUUGUGAAAUUGCGGUGGCAAUUGGUGUAUCCGGUAAGGAGGCGACACUUUUCUGUUACUUUUUCCUUUCCUUGUUUCCUGAUUUUAUUUUCGUUUCAUAAAGGCAUAGCUUAGGCUGUAGGCCUAAUAUAUAGGCUUAUUAAUACAAGUUGUAGAUGCUAACGGUAUUUAUCUUUGUUUCUGAAGAACGAUUGUAGAUAACUAUUGUAGAUAACGUUGGGCUCGAGCUGAUUUACAGUUAUUUUAACGGGACCAACGGUUCCCAACGGUAUCUCAGUAUCUUUAUAUUUUUUCUAUAUGUAUGUUUCCUGUGUAAAAACAAGGGGCUAAAAAUGCCUAUAGGAAAGCGGGUAGGCUUAAUAAAUAAAUAUUUACUGCUGGUAAUAGGCCUACUCCAUCCGCUAAUGCUUUGUGGGGUCAAAGGUGAUUGUAAAAUAGUCUUUAGUUUAAAAUGUGCGAUGUUUUUUUGCUAACAUUAGGCUACUGUCUUUUUCAGAAAAAGAGGUGGGCAAGAAAAUCCACUCCCUCCGGACACAGUACAACAGGUACAGCAAGGCACCAGCUUCGGGGAGUGCCGGUGGGAGAACUGGCAGGCAGGACUGGGUACGAAGGAGGCUCUCUUUCCUGGAGCCAUAUAUCAGGAAGAGAGCUUCUUCGUCCAACGUGGAUGAAAAGAUUGUUGAAAGAGAGAGUGAUGAUGUGGAGGGACUGGACGAGGAAGAGGACGUGGAAGUAGAGGAGAGCAGUGAACCGGAGGCGCUUCCAGUUUGGUGGCGCCUCCGUGGCCGUGUUGAUGUCCAGCCGCUCCUGGUUCACCAUAAUUCUCCCGACACCACAACUCUAUCUCCCUCCUAUUGCCAUGGUGUCUCCCCCUUUUAGGUGGUUGCUGUUCUCCCUCACGGCUAGCUGGCUCAAAAUUGUACGGAAGUGGUCCGAAACUGUUAUCCAUUGUUGUUAUGUUGCCUAUGAAGUCUAUGAUGAUUAGAACGUCCGUCUACCAAUUCCUACGUCACGCUAGAAAACGAGCGUUUGAGAUGCGGAAGUAAAAUUGUAUCACAAAAACGGCUCAAGAUGCCACUUGUAGUGUAGAUUUAUUAAUAAUUAUUUUUUCCUAUAUGAUUCUUCACUGCAGUAUCUAACUUCCAAUACGCACUUUUAGUUAAAAUAGACCAAAGAUGCCUUGGCUCAACUUCUUGUGGUUGUCGUUGUCCAGCUUCUGACAAACGGAACUGGGUCGAAUUUGUCCAGAGGAGGUCCGUUGAGGUCCACAAAAAUGGGUGAAGACAGGCUGUCUUUGCGCAACCUGUUGCGCAUCUGGUUUUCCGUGUUAUUAACGGUGGAAAAGCCUCGUUCGCACUCAGCUGACGUAAGGAGAUACGUGAGACUUGCUAUGCGCAUACUUUCCAAUGUUUUCCCCGGUGCAGUGCCCUGUAAUUUCCAGUCUCGAAACUGCUCUACGGCCUCCCUGGUUGGUAAUCCAAGCGCUUUCGCUAGGCUGUGUACUUCUGGUUCGCCAUGCAAAAGCAGGUCCUCCUGCUCUCCUGGCCAAAAACGCUUGUCAAGAGCUUUAAGCGUCAUGACCAAAUUUGACUCCGGUAAUCGCUCAGUUAGAGACGCAAUCACUGAUUCAUAAAACCGAGACCUGUUUAUUUUUCGCCCUGCCUUCACUCAGCCCUGUUACGUAUUUUAAGCACAAAAGCUGCCCCCACAUAGCCACUAGGAAGCAGGAUCGAAAAUACAAGCUGCAUUACACUCACAUAGCCACUAAGAAGCAGGAUCGAACUGCUGGCAACCCAUCUAGUACAGCGGAUAAGCUCACAUUUUAAUAACAAUUGUGCACUUUUUGAGAAAAGCAUGACAUUUCUAACAUAGUUAGUACAUGGCAUAAGGUGUAUUUUAAGAUGUGGAGGGAAGUCAGAUUUAGCCUGUGACGGCCGUGAGACGCCAAAUCCAAGAUGGCCGACAUUCCGCUGGGUAUAAUGUUCAAACUCUCAUAAUUUUGGAACCAUGCAAUGUUAUAAAACAUUUACGAUGUCAUUUCCAACUAAAGUGGAUAUGCCCAAUCAUUUGGUGACACUUUUGAGAACACCAGUGUUUGAGGAAACAUAUUUAGGUCAUGGUCAAGGUAAGAAUUUACUAUUUUUUGUCCGUAAAUGCAAACUUUUGCCAGGUGGUGGCGCUACAGAAAAUCUCUUAGGGUUACCAAAAUCCACGUGGUUGGUCCUGUACCUGUCAUGAAUGUUCACAUUUGACAUGUUUCCCAUUAAAACCGUUUGAGUUAUCGAGGUCACAAGGCAAGCUCACGUUAUCGAUGAUCUGCCUUUCAGUUUGGAACCUUUAAAUUAAGUUGCUACACUGGUUGAGAUAUAUAAUGGGCAAAACCAUUUGCUUGCCUUUUUAAGAAAUAAUAAUGAUAAGUUGGUCUACUUGAAUACUACAUACAAAUGAUUGAAGAAAAAAAUCGAACUGUUAUGCCCUAGUCUUGGGGUUGGCGGACACAACUUAUAAUUAGUUAUUUUCCCAUGCCGCAGUCCACAAAUCAAAAAGCAAACGGAGAAGUAUGUGUCAUAGUAUUUACUUUACAAAACAGUGAACAAUAUAUUUACAGCUAAAUUAAGCUUUGCUGAUUCACCACUACUGCUUCUACUAAGCUACUGUUUAGCAGGACAACGAACAGUCUCCUCUCCAGAACAGGAGCACAGUGCAGUGCACUUCAGUGCAGCUUUGACACACUUGCAUCGUCCAGUGCAUCCUUUCUGGCACCGACAGCAGAUUAAUUUGUGACAUGACUUAGAUGCCUCAGGAAGGGUGGUCCAAAGCGGCUGCGUCUGACUCAGCAGCAGAGCAGAGGACUCCACUCCACUCCUUCUGACCUCCUGGUUACUGCAGCUGCCAAAGAAGAUGAGUAUGCAUGGCAUCUGACACAUGCAGAAGUAGGCGGGUGUCUGCCUCCUCUUGUGAACAUGGGGCUAGGUAGGCAGAGUCUGACUCAGCAGGAGAGCAGAGGACUCCACUUCCAUCUGUUGCGUAUAGUUCCUUGCCUUCUGCUAGAGGAAGGUUAAUCACUUCAUGUGUGAGGAUUGUGAACAAUUCACUUUUGUUCUCAUCACAUCGAAGGAAGUCCCUCCAGUUCUUUGGCAUGACAGUAGAAGGAGCCACCCUUUUCCUUGUGCCCUUUCCCCUCUUCUGUCUGAUUGAGGCUUUCAGGCUGGCAGGUAGGUAUACAUCCCAGACGAGGUCAAUGCGACAGCUUUUUACCUGAUGAGCAGAGAGAUGUAUGGUGCAAAUAUACUUUCUCCAUAUUCUUUAAAGUCCUUGAUGUUCCAGGAUUCAACAUUUGAACCACAACUGCACCAUCAAAAAUUGUUGCAUCUGCCAAAGGCCCACAUUUAUUUUGAAGCAGGUUGGCAGCUGGAGGAAAACUCCGCAUUGGGGUUAAGCUGAUUUACUUUUCUGCCUGAUUCCAGGCAGAAAAGUAAAUCUGCUUUAACCCCAAUGCAGAGUUUUCCUCCAGUUGACAGAGCUGGUGGGGCUGCCUGGUUUUCAUGGGAAACGAAAUUGUCAAUAUCUCCAUUUCGUGUUUGGCAGGAGAUGUACAGCCGAGAAAAAAGACCACAAUCACUUUUUAGAGCUGCAAGUUGUGCAUUCUGUUUGGACUUAAUUUUAAAUGGUGGCCUACUGAACAGUGGCAGUUUGUUCUUCGGAAUUGUUUGUGUGACCAGUGUCGUACACUUUUCUAGCCUUUCGGUCACAACUUGGUGUACUGCUCCUCACCAAGGGUUUCAAUCCUUCUCACAGUUUCAGCUAUUUGGGGGUCCAUGAUGUCCCUUGUGUCAAUGACUAGUAGGUCUUGGCUGUGUUCUAAGAAUGGAUUCCCCAUCUCUCCCAACAAAUUCACAAGUGCCUUUACUUCCUUCAAGAAGGCAGCUUGUACUCCAGGUUUAUGAUCAUGGUGAUGUUGUCCAGUGCCACUAGCACCAUGUUGCUGCUUCACUGUUUGCUGCUGAAAUUCUGAUGUGAUCCUGGCAAUUUCUGACCCGGCUAUCAUCCAGCGUCGGAGUGCUCCUGGAUUGCCAGUCAGUCCAAUAGCCCCACCAGAACCUUUCACCUUUGCAUUGUUCUGUUCGUGACACUGGUCAAGUGCCAUGCCAGAGAAUUGGUUGCAGGUUUUGUGCACCACAAAAUUUACAGACAUGAAUUCUGCUAGGACAUAAGGAUGUUUUUUGGCAAGAGUUAUCAUGUCAUGGAUGUGUACAGAAAGCCAUCUAGAGUGGUGCGUGUGAUCGAGGGAGAACAUCCAGGGCAUGAUCUGAGUCAGGGAUUCCACAUACAGCUGGAAGUUACCUUCUCGAAGAGAUCUGAUGUAACGCAGCAUGAGAAGCUCCAAAAACAGGGUCUUAAGCCAGUAGUCAAAGUGAACAGUGGUCUUUGCUCGCUGUAUGCACCACUCCUCAAAAGGCAGACUAUCAGAUUGCAUUUCAUCAAUAUCAUCAGAUGUGCUGUCUUUGGUGUAGGCUUGUUGUAGAAGUGAAUACAGGUGUGCAGCUGUGACCUGGUGUGCAUGGCGGGUCUUGGUGACAUGGCUGACAUUUAUAAAGGACUUUGAAGUUCCUGAACUUGCAAUACCAGCCUGUACCAAUGCAUUUGUCUAGCCACUGUCUUCAAGCCAGUCUCCCAGCAACUUCAACGUGGCCAUCUCAAUGUGUAGACCACCGAACAUGAUCACAAAGUGAUCCUCUCCGUGAGUGGCUGGCCAGGUCCACUGAAUUUCCUUAGCAAGUGCAUACAGAGGUUGAUCAGCAGCAAGGACAGGAAUCUGACCAGGGUUCACAUUCUGAACUGCCGCCCUGACAAUGUCCAUUGAGUGACGCACCAUUGCCACUGAGUGUGCGUUAUCAAGAAACAGAGGAAGUAGUGAGUUGAUUGCUGCAGGUGGAAUGACUGCUUGGUGUGCGUCAGCGUGAUAAGCAGACCACGAUAUCAUGUCAUCCAUGGUACACUUUUCAACAGCUGUUUUGACUUUAUUGAGCCAUGCAUACAACUGUUGGAACCAGGCAUUGGUCCUGAAUCCAGAGAUGCCAGACCCAUCUGACUGGGGCUGGACAAAGGAAACAACUGGGUGGCAGCCGCUUUGGACCACCCUUCCUGAGGCAUCUAAGUCAUGUCACAAAUGAAUCUGCUGUCGGUGCCAGAAAGGAUGCACUGGACGAUGCAAGUGUGCCAAAGCUGCACUGAAGUGCACUGCACUGUGCUCCUGUUCUGGAGCUUUGCUGAUUAGUGGUGAAUCAGCAAAGCUUAAUUUAGCUGUAAAUAUAUUGUUCACUGUUUUGUAAAGUAAAUACUUUUACACAUACUUCUCCGUUUGCUUUUUGAUUUGUGGACUGCGGUAUGGGAAAAUAACUUAUUUUAAGUGGUGUCCUCCAACCUGUUACGUAUUUUAAGAACAUAAGCUGACCCCACAUAGCCUCUAGGAAGCAGAUUCAAACACACAAGCUGUAUUACCCUCACAUAACCACUAGAAAGCAGGACCAAACAUAUAAGCCGUAAAUACUAUACAUAGCCACAAGGGGAGCAGGACCUUACUGAAGGCUGCAAUAGCGGCUCCAUCCACAGAAGGCAGCACCUCAGACAAGUGAGGAAGCCAAGGCUAAUACGUCACACCGGCUCCGCCCACUUCACACAGGCCGCGUGGAUUUGACCAUAACAGUCUACAGAGAAGUGGAGAGAUUCAGAAACUUCAGGUAGCUCAGACUUGCGGGUUAGAGUUUUGAUCAGCUGGGAGUCGCUCAGCACGUGUUAGACACACUUCCCCUCCUUUUGCUCCGUAGUUAGCUCACUAUCUUCCGAAAAAGACUCAAGACUCACCUGUUCAGAGUCCACCUCGACUCUGCAUAGCCACCUUCCCACUUCUGACCACCAUUGUACACUGUAUUGUAUUGUAUUGUAUUGUAGUACUUAACUGUGUAGCAACUGCAGUAGCUGCUAUCAUGGCUGUAACACGGGGAAUUGAUUGACCUAGCGAUUGUGGUACUUGCACUUGGUUCUAUGAACAUCCUUUCUGUACCGAAAGCGAUAUAUUGAUGCACUUCUUAUGACAAAUGUACUUGUUGUAAGUCGCUUUGGAUAAAAGCGUCUGCUAAAUGCCCUAAAUGUAAAUGUAAAUGUAGUUACCAUACCGAAAUACCUUGACAAAUAAAGUGAGUUAAAAGCGAUCCGGGAUUGGACUACUUUCUUAGAAGAAUGCUGCAAACCCCAAGACUAGGGCAUAACAGUUAGAUUCUUUUCUUCAAUAAUUUGUGUGUAGUAUUCAAGUAGACCAUGGGUGUUAACUUAUCAUUAUUAUUUCUUAAAAAGGCAAGCAAAUGGUUUUGCCUAUUAUAUAUCUCAACCAGUGUAGCAACUUCAUUUAAAGGUUCCAAACUGAAAGGCAGAUCAUCGAUAACGUGGGCUUGCCUUGUGACCUCGAUAACUCAAAAGGUUCUAAUUAGGGAUGGGCACGAGUAAUAAAUUCCAAACUCGAGUGAUCGAAGGAAUUCCUCGAGGAUCAAUCGAGUACUCGUUAAAUCAAAUCUAUUUUUAGAAUGCAACGCAUCUGCAGCAGGAAUAGGCCUGAUGAUGAACGGCAAUAUUACCAACCAAACAUGUAAUGCUUAUUCUCCAUCAUAACAGUCAGAGUUAUCAGAGUAUUCAUUAUUUAUUUUUGCAAACGUUCAAAACACAUUUCCCUUACAAAAAUAAAUAUGCGUCUCACAAUUUAAAUCACGUCGAACCAAGGCCUGUAACAGUUUAAAAAAAACGAAACAAGUAGCCUAACCAUUGCAAAUAAAUGCUUAAAGCUGCAAAUAAAACGGCAGCAAAUGGACUAUGGAAAUACUCAGCGUUGUGAUCUUCUCUACACGCCCGGGAUUACAGCUGCGUCUUGCGGCGGUGAAAAUAGCCGACACACUUUCACUUUCACCGUUGCUGCGGGUCUGCUUUCCCGAACUCACUGUUGUGUUUCAGGAGCAUAUGUUGCCGCAUAGUACUUUCUGGUAGCUCGAUUUCGCUUGGCAUAUUUUACAUUUCACCUUAUGAUCUCCUAUUUCUUUAAAGUAUUUCAAUUCUUCGCUGCGGUUUGCUUUAACCGCCAUCUCUUAACUUUUUGAAUUCUGGCGUGCCUGCACACGCCACGGAACGCGCCAUGGAAAUGGAUGCAUUUAAUUUUCUUUGUGCCCACGUCAUGCGUUAGUGGCGCCGACAGAAAAUUGAUACAUUUGCUUCAGAAAACUUUGUUUGUGUGUGUCUAUGCAAACUCGAGUUUGCCUGUCCACCAACCGAGUUCAUUUGUAACGAGUAGUACUCGAGUAAUCGAUUCCUCACGCCCAUCCCUAGUUCUAAUGGGAAA